UGGGUAACCUGCCUCAAAGAGGGGAAUAGCCUCCCGAAAGGGAGAUUAAUACCGCAUAAUAUGUUUUGGUCACAUGACCUUUACAUCAAAGGAUUUUCUUCGGAAUUUCCACUUUGAGAUGGACCCGCGGCGCAUUAGCUAGUUGGAGAGGUAACGGCUCACCAAGGCGACGAUGCGUAGCCGACCUGAGAGGGUNAUCGGCCACAUUGGAACUGAGACACGGUCCAGACUCCCGUAGGGACGG
rnacentral:rRNA from 1 species